rnacentral:lncRNA from 1 species
CCUUGACUACCAGCGAGCAGCGACCAGCUGCAUCUGAGAAAACUGGGCCCAGACAUGCCACCAAAAAUGGAAGAGAGCUUUAAGCUAUUCAAAGAAGAGCUUAAAGAAAUGAUUAAGGACAUGAAAGAGGAACUAUCUAUGAAGAUGGAGAACAUGACGAAUGCCUUGGAGAAAUCAUUGAAAAUACUGGAGAAUGAUGUCAAGGUACUGAAAGAAGAAAAUGUAAAGAAUGCAGAAAAGAUAAAAACAUUGGAUGCGAGGGUUGAAGAACUGGAAAGAAAAGAAAGAGAAAAGGAUGUCAUCAUCACGGGCCUAAAGAUAAGGCCAAGGAGCUACGCCAGUGCAACAAGACAAACUGAGGAUCAGACCAGCGAAGACGAAAAAUCGAUUGAAGAACAGGUGAUUGAUUACCUGGACUCGAAAGGCAUUGAAGUGAACCCAGACAACAUCAACAACUGCCAGCUGCUGCCAAAACGCAAAGACACCAGAGAUGUGAAAAUUACAUUCACCAACGUGAAAUAUAAAGCUGAAAUAAUGAAACAAGGAAGAAAACUGGCCGGAACGAUGGUGUUUAUGAACGAGAACCUGACGAAGCAAAACGCAAGUAUCGCAUGGAAAGCACGCCAACUAAAGAAAGGAGGAAAAAUUGUGAAAAACUGGACCAGAGGCUGCAGGAUUUACAUCACACCUCCAGGAGGAGAAAAUGGAAAACCCGUUCUAGUCCAAAGGAUGGAAGACCUGGAAAAAUACGAAUGAGGUGCCUAAAAGUCAAGAACACUGAUAAAGGUCAUGGAUAUGGACAGAACCACUAAAAAUCAUCCGCAACAUCAUCAACAUCAACAACGGGAGAUUAAUCAAGUAGACGAAGUGGACCCAAACAACUUUUCACAUUGGAAACAAUACACGAACAGCCAUUACUACACAGAGAAUGACUUCAAAGUGGAAAAUAAGAAUGAAAAAGGUCUGCCACUUGUUCACUGUAAUUGUCGCAGUAUGUAUGCAAAUUUUGAAGACAUUAAGGAUUACAUCUCUACAUUGUAUAGAUUUGACAUAAUAGC